AUAGCUACUUGCAUCAUUGUAAAUAUGAUGCAAGAUCGACUAUGUCGAAUAAAAUUCUAGGUAGAAUUAUGAUAAUGACAUUGUCUGCCUAUGUGUCUUGACCAAAUUACGUGCCAGCAGUCGCGGUAAUACGUAGAAGACUAGUGUUAUUCAUGUUUAAUCGGUUUAAAGGGUACCUAGACGGUAAAUCAAGCCUAAAAGGAAAUAAAUGAAGGGACUAAUUUACUAGAGUUACUUAUGAGGGGGUAUUAAAGUACUGCUGGUGUAGAGAUGAAAUUCUGUCAUACCUCUUUUCAAUAGAAAAAUAAUGGCACAGGUAUAGGCGAAAGCAUCCCCUUAUGUGAUAACUGACGUUGAGGGACGAAGGCUUUGUGUAGCGAACAGGAUUAGAUACCCCAGUAGUCAAAGCAGAAAAUGAUGAAUGUCAUAGAUUAGAUAUAUAAGUUUAUUCUAUAAAUGAAAGUGUAAGCAUUCCACCUCAAGAGUAAUUUGGCAACAUUGGAACUGAAAUCAUUAGACCGUUUCUGAAACCAGUAGUGAAGUAUGUUGUUUAAUUUGAUGAUCCGCAAAAAACCUUACCACAAUUUGAAUAUUUAUAUCUUUUAUUGUUUUUCUUUUUAACUUUUUCUAAUUUUCUACUUAAAAGAAAAAAAAUAACAAGAAAAAAGAGACAAUAAG
rnacentral:rRNA from 1 species